rnacentral:rRNA from 1 species
CAGUCGCCGCGGGAAUACGUAGGGCGCAAGCGUUAUCCGGAAUUAUUGGGCGUAAAGAGCUCGUAGGCGGUUUGUCGCGUCUGCCGUGAAAGUCCGGGGCUCAACCCCGGAUCUGCGGUGGGUACGGGCAGACUAGAGUGAUGUAGGGGAGACUGGAAUUCCUGGUGUAGCGGUGAAAUGCGCAGAUAUCAGGAGGAACACCGAUGGCGAAGGCAGGUCUCUGGGCAUUAACUGACGCUGAGGAGCGAAAGCAUGGGGAGCGAACAGGAUUAGAUACCCCAGUAGUCCCUGUCUCUUAUAA